AUUGAACGCUGGCGGCAUGCCUUACACAUGCAAGUCGAACGGCAGCAUGAUCUAGCUUGCUAGAUUGAUGGCGAGUGGCGAACGGGUGAGUAAUACAUCGGAACGUGCCCUGUAGUGGGGGAUAACUAGUCGAAAGAUUAGCUAAUACCGCAUACGACCUGAGGGUGAAAGUGGGGGACCGCAAGGCCUCAUGCUAUAGGAGCGGCCGAUGUCUGAUUAGCUAGUUGGUGAGGUAAAGGCUCACCAAGGCGACGAUCAGUAGCUGGUCUGAGAGGACGAUCAGCCACACUGGGACUGAGACACGGCCCAGACUCCUACGGGAGGCAGCAGUGGGGAAUUUUGGACAAUGGGCGAAAGCCUGAUCCAGCAAUGCCGCGUGUGUGAAGAAGGCCUUCGGGUUGUAAAGCACUUUUGUCCGGAAAGAAAUGGCUCUGGUUAAUACCUGGUGUCGAUGACGGUACCGGAAGAAUAAGGACCGGCUAACUACGUG
rnacentral:rRNA from 1 species